UUUUUCGAGAGUUUGAUCCUGGCUCAGGAUGAACGCUGGCUGUGUGCCUAAUACAUGCAUGUCGAGCGAAGGUAGCAAUACCUUAGCGGCGAAUGGGUGAGUAACACGUGCUCAACGUACCCUUCAGUUUGGCAUAGCGACUGGAAACAGUCGAUAAUUUCAAAUACUCGUAGUUUUCGCAUGAAGAUUACGGAAAAGAAGCGUUUGCUUCGCUGGAGGAGCGGGGUGCGUAACAUUAGCUAGUUGGUGAGGUAACGGCCCACCAAGGCGAUGAUGUUUAGCGGGGUUGAGAGACUGAACCGCCACACUGGGACUGAGAUACGGCCCAGACUCCUACGGGAGGCAGCAGUAGGGAAUAUUCCACAAUGGGCGAAAGCCUGAUGGAGCGACACAGCGUGAAGGAUGAAGGUCCUAUGGAUUGUAAACUUCUGUGGUAAGGGAAGAAAAGACAGAAUAGGAAAUGAUUUUGUUUUGACGGUACCUUAUUAGAAGCAACGGCUAACUAUGUGCAGCAGCCGCGGUAUACAUAGGUUGAAGCGUUAUCGGAAUAUUGGCGUAAGAGUCUGUAGUGUUGNUAGUCGGCGUUAAUUUGGGCUCACNNNNNNN
rnacentral:ncRNA from 1 species